CGAGUUUCGGAAAAUUGCCACGGUCUCUCCACUUAUCAAGGGGAGGC
rnacentral:SRP_RNA from 1 species